rnacentral:rRNA from 1 species
CUCUCCAAAUUGUUUUAUGCUUGCAUAAAUGAUUUUUGGAUUCGGAGCGAGUGGCGAACUGGUGAGUAACACGUGGGUAACCUGCCCCGAAGCGGGGGAUAACAUUUGGAAACAAGUGCUAAUACCGCAUAAUUAGUUGGAACCGCAUGGUUCCAACUUGAAAGAUGGCUCUGCUAUCACUUUGGGAUGGACCCGCGCCGUAUUAGUUAGUUGGUGAGAUAAAAGCCCACCAAGACGAUGAUACGUAGCCGACCUGAGAGGGUAAUCGGCCACAUUGGGACUGAGACACGGCCCAGACUCCUACGGGAGGCAGCAGUAGGGAAUCUUCCACAAUGGACGAAAGUCUGAUGGAGCAACGCCGCGUGAGUGAUGAAGGUUUUCGGAUCGUAAAACUCUGUUGUUAAAGAAGAACAAGUGUUAGAGUAACUGUUAACACUUUGACGGUAUUUAACCAGAAAGCCACGGCUAACUACGUGCCAGCAGCCGCGGUAAUACGUAGGUGGCAAGCGUUGUCCGGAUUUAUUGGGCGUAAAGCGAGCGCAGGCGGUUUUGUAAGUCUGCUGUGAAAGCCCUCAGCUCAACUGAGGAAGUGCAGUGGAAACUACAAAACUUGAGUACAGAAGAGGAAAGUGGAACUCCAUGUGUAGCGGUGAAAUGCGUAGAUAUAUGGAAGAACACCAGUGGCGAAGGCGGCUUUCUGGUCUGUUACUGACGCUGAGGCUCGAAAGCAUGGGUAGCGAACAGGAUUAGAUACCCUGGUAGUCCAUGCCGUAAACGAUGAAUACUAGGUGUUGGAGGGUUUCCGCCCUUCAGUGCCGCAGCUAACGCAUUAAGUAUUCCGCCUGGGGAGUACGACCGCAAGGGUUGAAACUCAAAGGAAUUGACGGGGGCCCGCACAAGUGGUGGAGCAUGUGGUUUAAUUUCGAUGCUACGCGAAGAACCUUACCAGCUCUUGACAUCUUCUGCUAACCCAAGAGAUUGGGCGUUUCCCUUUCGGGGACAGAAUGACAGGGGGUGCAUGGGUUGUCGUCAGCUCGUGUCGUGAAAUGUUGGGUUUAAGUCCCGCACGAGCGCAACCCUUAUUUUUUAGUUGCCAGCANUUUAUUGGCCCCUUUAAGGAAACUGGCGGGGAUAAACGGGGAAGGGGGGACAAC